UAUUGAAUAUAGUUCCCUGUGCUAUACAGUGACAUAGAAAGAGAAGAAGGAAAAUUACACAUCAGGAAAGGCCCCGAAUGUAAGACAGCAAACAGACACAGUGAAAUCUAAACCAGGGGGACGAGCAGAGACCAUAACUCAAUGAGGAUGCAGCCAUCUCCUUGGUGCUCCCCAGUGCUCAGCAUAUGGUACCCAGUGAUGUACUGAAUGGAUAAGCGAAUGGACAAUUGAAAAAUGUUCUAAUCAUUAUGGAGGUAGAGACUAUAACCUGAAUUUCCUGAAUAGCUGUUAAAGGAAAAAGAAAAGCAAGCUGUUUUGGCUCA